rnacentral:tRNA from 1 species
GCAGAGAAUAUGGCUCAGUGGUAGAGUGCUGGCCUAGUAUGUGCACAGCUCUGGGUUCCAUCCCCAGCACUGCA